AGCUUUGCGCAGUGGCAGUAUCGUAGCCAAUGAGGUUUAUCCGAGGCGCGAUUAUUGCUAAUUGAAAAAAGGAAGAAACACAAAAAAAACAGCAGCAGCACUGAUUGCUGCAAACAGAUAAAUUACCGGAAGUUUCAAGGAUAAAGAAA
rnacentral:snRNA from 1 species